rnacentral:rRNA from 1 species
UUAAAUUGAAGAGUUUGAUCAUGGCUCAGAUUGAACGCUGGCGGCAGGCCUAACACAUGCAAGUCGAACGGUAACAGAAAGAAGCUUG